ensembl:lncRNA
AGGCACAUUUCAGCAUACACGUCCUUACAGAAAUAACUUCAGAAGAAGAGGGUUAUACCAUACACAGAGCUUUUAAAAAACAAAAUUUAUGGAAUUUAAUAUUAUUUGAAAUCGUUGGAAAAGGAAGCUGAAGUGAAACUGAAGGAAAUAUUGGGCUUCAGAUAAAUGUUUCUCUGCUACAAGGUAUUGUUAUAAUUCUUAAAAAAUUAUUAUAAAGUAUUUUACACAUUCAAGGAAUAGAAAAAAUGUUACAAAACCCAUGUUUCUGCUACCAGGAACUUCCUUUCUAGGAAACUAGAAAGUUGAAAGUUACGGUUGUUUAAUUCCACCCUCAGCUCCUGCUGCUGCGCUCCCUGGUUUGGGACACUUUCUCAUGUCAGCGAUUUGUGAACCUGGAGCCCAUGUCCCCCCCGAAGUGUCCCCAGUGGGGUCCCAGAGCCCUCAGCUGUCACGUCACACACAGUCUCGACUGAAGCUGCAGAACAGAGAGAUCAGCAUUACAUUUUCCAAUGUGAGGUUGGAAUUUCUUCUCUACAUUAUUCCUAAAUCAUCCCUAGUGUAUAAUGUAAUUGCAGGUACUUCUAGGACACUUAAAAAAUCCUCUCUCCUUUCACUCUGGCUGGUUAACAGAGAGCCAAUGGGUCUUCUCAGGGAGGGGGACAGAUUUCUGGUGUUCAAUGAUUUGGGCUAAAUCUAAUGCCACUCACAUUUUCACAUUGGCAGGUGAGUCUGAGAGAAUCUCAGAUCAGCAGGAAUUUAGCUUAAGGGGCUGACUUUCCCUUACCUGUUGGAUAAACUAAGCUAUAGCAGAAAUGCAUUGCACAACCUGGAUUUCACUGGCAGAUGGUGAGCUCCUUAGGGGCAAGGAUUCUGGUUGAUAUUAGUACUCUUAAUACCUCACGGGUGUCUGACAAACAGGGAAGCCCAAUUAGUGCUUGUUGGAUGAGUAGUGUAGAAUCUUUUGGCUCUAGGGAGAUCAGCAGGCUAUAUCUUCAUUCUCCUGCCUUUAGCAGGCUUGCAACAAAGUAAAAACGUUCCUUAGUGUGAGUAAGGAUGACCUUCCAAAGUUUAUUCAUCCAUACAUUUAAAAUCUUUCACUAACUGUUAUAUAAUUGUAGGUUAAACUAAUUUUAUUGGAUAUAAAUUAUGGCAUGACCCUUUUAAUAAUCCUUUUGUAUUUUAACACAUUCCUACCUUCUUUAGCUUCUCUCUGGAUUAAAUUAUCAGAAUUCCUGAAAAUUUUCCCAGGACUCAAACCCAACAGAAUAUGAUGAAACUGGCUAAAGACAUUUGAAUUUAUACUGCAUUUGGUUUCAAAACAAUGUUUCCUAGAGUGAUUUUGUCUUAUAGUUUAGCAUGUGUAAGAAUCAAAAUGAUUCAGAGGCUAGUCAUUGACAGUGGGUUGCCUGCUUGAAAGCACCUCAUUUCCCUCUAGUAGUGUUAGGGGAGGUGGACAGAAAGAAAAGGAUUCAUUGAAGAUAAAUCUUUUAAUCCAGCCCCGGAUUAUGGGUUUUAGAAAGUAAUCCAGAGAAUUGGUGUAUCGAACCAUGCAUGUAGGCAAAGGGGAUCAUAUUCUCAAAUCAUAGACUGGUUUGUUCAAUUUCCCACAAAAGGCAAAAGAGGAAAGAAGCACAGAGAGAAUAAAGUAUUGAAGUUUUUUUGUUUUGUUUUGUUUUCCUUUUCCAGAUGUGUAUCAGGCAAUCUUUUGAGUAAAUCAGAACAGGAAGGGGCAGAGGAAAAGUAGGCAAGGCUUCCCUUUUAAUCAACUCAGCUGAAUCAGGGGCUCUGAACCACCAUCAGCAAAAGAAGCCCAGAUUCCCUGGAUGAUGAAAGUACACCCCAUGAUUUUCUGGCACCUGGUUGAGUCAAGGGCUCGAACAUGAUCUUAAUGGGCAUGGCAAAUAUCAGCUCCAAGCAAGGAGAGUUCAUUCCAGGUGGGGUGCUCGUGGUGGAGCCACAAGUCUCAGGGCGAGAUUCUCUUUUGAGCACCCCUCAGGGUACCACUCACCUGUUGUAUGGUGUAGGCCUUACACUAAAAGUCAUGCCGAAUUGUGGCCUACAUUUAGAUUGAGGUGGAAAGUAGUUUAUUAACAACAGGCUCUGCAAUUAUGUCUAAAUUUUGGAUAGAGCCCUGGGUAGAAGGUGAAGCUCUUAGGAUUUAGGGGUCUGCUGAAACUGCGGCUUUUGCUCUGCACAAGAAGGGGAUAAUUUUUUUGAGAGGAGAGGCACUCUUAAACAGGAAGGCUAAAGAGAAAGAAAAGGAGAAGAAGGAGAAGGUGCAAGAAAAGAGCUAGCAAGACAGAAUAAAUUGAGAGGCUAAGAUCUACAAGGCCACGGCUAUCAACAGUAUCAACAGACAUUUUAGGAAUGAUGAUGCUUAAAACAUGAGUUGAGCAUGAAACAAAUUGCACAUCUAAUGGGGGCAAGUCACCUUGCAGGUAUGAAUAUUUGCACUUGAAUAUCCACCAGAUGUCAGCAAAGGGUCUUAGUCUAACAAGAUAAAUAUAUUAAAGACGUUUUCCAAUAGAUGAAAGUAUUUCGAGGAAGGGUGCUUUAAAAAAAUUUGCACAAAGGAAGAGGAUGUGCUAGCAGAGCUCUGAUGUUUGGCCUUCUUCCAUUUACUAUUUAAAACAUCUUCCUCUUAUAUCCCUCAAAAAAAAAAAAAAAAAAAAAAAAAAAAAAACCAGAAAGAAAGGAAAUGAAAAAAGUCAAAGAAAGGAAGAAAGGAAGGAAAAAAAAUGUUCCUGUGAUGUCUAUUCUGUAUGAGCCAUCAUACCCAAAAUCUACCAUGGAACAAUGGAAGCAAAUUGAAUGCAACUUUUAUUGUACUCAAAUGUAUUUGAUCUGUUCGAAGAACUUCUGUGGUUCACUCAUAAUACAACAUCAAGCUUCACUUUGGGUAUUUAUAUUAUGUGUUCUGUAAUUAUCUGUGCUCAUAUUUGCAUUUCCUAGAAGCCUGUCUCUUUUAAAUCAAUAACUUAUAUUUUUAUUUAAAUUAUGCAACAUAUAAUUGAAAGUUAAGUGUUGCCAUUAGGCUUAUAAAGAAAAACGUUCCUUAGUGUGAGUAAGGAUGACCUUCCAAAGUUUAUUCAUCCAUACAUUUAAAUAGUCAACUACUUCAUCCCACUCUCUUCUCC